rnacentral:rRNA from 1 species
GAUGAACGCUGUCUACAGGCUUAACACAUGCAAGUCGAGGGGAAACGACGGGGAAGCUUGCUUCCCCGGGCGUCGACCGGCGCACGGGUGAGUAACGCGUAUCCAACCUGCCUCUGACUGAGGGAUAACCCGUCGAAAGUCGGCCUAAUACCUCAUGGCAUCGUCUGCGGGCAUCCAACGACGAUUAAAGAUUUCAUCGGUCAGGGAUGGGGAUGCGUCUGAUUAGCUUGUUGGCGGGGUAACGGCCCACCAAGGCUACGAUCAGUAGGGGUUCUGAGAGGAAGGUCCCCCACAUUGGAACUGAGACACGGUCCAAACUCCUACGGGAGGCAGCAGUGAGGAAUAUUGGUCAAUGGGCGGGAGCCUGAACCAGCCAAGUAGCGUGCAGGAUGACGGCCCUAUGGGUUGUAAACUGCUUUUAUGCGGGGAUAAAGUGAGGGACGUGUCCUUCAUUGCAGGUACCGCAUGAAUAAGGACCGGCUAAUUCCGU